rnacentral:rRNA from 1 species
AUUGAACGCUGGCGGCAUGCUUUACACAUGCAAGUCGAACGGCAGCGGGGGCUUCGGCCUGCCGGCGAGUGGCGAACGGGUGAGUAAUGCAUCGGAACGUGCCCAUGUCGUGGGGGAUAACUACGCGAAAGCGUGGCUAAUACCGCAUACGCCCUGAGGGGGAAAGCGGGGGAUCUUUCGGGACCUCGCGCGCUUGGAGCGGCCGAUGUCGGAUUAGCUAGUUGGUGGGGUAAACGCUCACCAAGGCGACGAUCAGUAGCUGGUCUGAGAGGAUGAUCAGCCACACUGGGACUGAGACACGGCCCAGACUCCUACGGGAGGCAGCAGUGGGGAAUUUUGGACAAUGGGCGCAAGCCUGAUCCAGCCAUGCCGCGUGAGUGAAGAAGGCCUUCGGGUUGUAAAGCUCUUUCGGCCGGGAAGAAAUCGCAUUCUCUAAUAUAGGAUGUGGAUGACGGUACCGGACUAAGAAGCACCGGCUAACUACGUGCCAGCAGCCGCCGUAA